GGUCCAAUGCCACGUUGUUGGUAGCUUAAUGAGCAGGGACCAAUAAUGCUAUGAUUGGACCUAAAGCAAGAGUGAAAUUCAUUUGUUUCGCAUCCUGAUAGGAACCUGCGGAUUCCAUUCCUUUAUGAUCCGCGGAGCCGAUUUAUGCGAUUACAUUU